rnacentral:rRNA from 1 species
AUUGAACGCUGGCGGCAUGCUUUACACAUGCAAGUCGAACGGUAACAGGCCGCAAGGUGCUGACGAGUGGCGAACGGGUGAGUAAUGCAUCGGAACGUGCCCAGUCGUGGGGGAUAACUGCUCGAAAGAGCAGCUAAUACCGCAUACGAUCUAUGGAUGAAAGCGGGGGACCGUAAGGCCUCGUCCGAUUGGAUCGGCCGAUGUCAGAUUAGGUAGUUGGUGGGGUAAAGGCUCACCAAGCCAACGAUCUGUAGCUGGUCUGAGAGGACGACCAGCCACACUGGGACUGAGACACGGCCCAGACUCCUACGGGAGGCAGCAGUGGGGAAUUUUGGACAAUGGGGGCAACCCUGAUCCAGCAAUUCCGCGUGCAGGAAGAAGGCCUUCGGGUUGUAAACUGCUUUUGUACGGAACGAAACGGUCUGGGUUAAUACCCUGGGCUAAUGACGGUACCGUAAGAAUAAGCACCGGCUAACUACGUGCCAGCCGCCGCGGUAAUAC